GUUUUUCCUUUUUUUAUUUAUGUUAACUUAGUUAGGUUAGUUUUUUAGUUUAUUUGGUUAGUUAGUUAGCUUAGUUUAUUAGGUUAGUUGGGAGACUUGAUUAUAACCCCUCGAGCUCGCUUCUAUGCCCAUUUUUUGGUCUGCCUCGCUUCUAUGUCCCCACACCUGUGUUCAUGUUGCCAAUAACCCCCUUUGGCAUGAUUAACACAUAUUUUAGC
rnacentral:lncRNA from 1 species